AGAGUUUGAUCCUGGCUCAGGAUGAACGCUAGCGGCAGGCUUAAUACAUGCAAGCCGAACGGCAAGUCUGAUAGCAAUAUUAGACCUAGAGUGGCGUAAGGGUGCGUAACACGUAUGCAACCUGCCCACAACAGGAGGAUAGCUCCCCGAAAGGGGAAUUAAUACUCCAUAAUACCACGAGAGGGCAUCUGAUUGUGGUUAAACCAAAAGGGGUUGUGGAUGGGCAUGCGGUUGAUUAGCUAGUUGGUAAGGUAACGGCUUACCAAGGCGAUGAUCAAUAGGGGAACUGAGAGGUUUAUCCCCCACACUGGCACUGAGAUACGGGCCAGACUCCUACGGGAGGCAGCAGUAGGGAAUAUUGGACAAUGGGCGAGAGCCUGAUCCAGCCAUGCCGCGUGCAGGAAGAAGGCCUUCUGGGUUGUAAACUGCUUUUGCCAGGGGAUAAAAAGUCCCUGCGGGGAAAAUUGAAGGUACCUGGUGAAUAAGCCACGGCUAACUACGUGCCAGCAGCCGCGGUAAUACGUAGGUGGCAAGCGUUGUCCGGAUUUAUUGGGUUUAAAGGGUGCGUAGGCGGCCCUGUAAGUCAGUGGUGAAAUACGGCAGCUCAACUGUCGAGGUGCCAUUGAUACUGCAGGGCUUGAGUACAGACGAGGUAGGCGGAAUUGACGGUGUAGCGGUGAAAUGCUUAGAUAUCGUCAAGAACACCGAUAGCGAAGGCAGCUUACUAGGCUGUAACUGACGCUGAGGCACGAAAGUGUGGGGAUCAAACAGGAUUAGAUACCCUGGUAGUCG
rnacentral:rRNA from 1 species